UGUUAUUUCCGUUGUUCUUCUUGGCCUGUCAUCUAAGUUUCUGUAGUAUGUUUCUGUCUCUCUGGAGGUUAUUUCCAUUGUUUCCAUUAUUUCCGUUAUUUCCGCUUUUUCCGUUAUUUCCGUAUUUCUUCUUGGCCUCUCAUCUAAGUUUCUGCAGUAUGUUUCUGUCUCUCUGCAGGUUAUUUCCGUUAUGUCUGUUAUUUCCGUUCUUUAUGCAAUUUUUCUUGGCCUGUCAUCUAAGUUUCUGCAUUAUGUUUCUGUCUCUCUGGAGGUUAUUUCCGUUAUUUCAUUUAUUUCUGUUAUUUCCGUUGUUCUUCUUGGCCUGUCAUCUAAGUUUCUGCAGUAUGUUUCUGUCUCUCUGGUGGUUAGUUUUGUUAGUUCUGUUAGUUCCGUUAUUUAUUUCCGUUAUUUCCAGAAUUUAUUUCCGUUAGUUCCGUUAUUUAUUUCUCUUAGUUCCUUUAUUUAUUUCGGUUGGUUCCUUUAUUUCUUUCUGUUAGUUUCGUCAUUUAUUUCCGUUCCUUCCGUUAUUAAGUUCCGUUAUUUAGUUCCGUUAUUUAGUUCAUUUAUUUCCGUUGUUCUUCUUGGCCUGUCAUCUAAGUUUCUGCAGUCUGUUUCUGUCUCUCUGGAGGUUAUUUACGUUAUUUCCGUUAUUUAUUUCCAUUAUUUCCGUUAUUUAUUUCCGUUAUUUCCGUUCUUUAUUUCCGUUAUUUCCGAUAUUUCUGUUAUUAUUUCCGUUAUUCUUCUUGGCCUUUUUCUAAGUUUCUGCGGUAUGUUUCUGUCUGUCUGGUGGUUAUUUCUGAUAUUUCCAUUAUUUCCAGUAUUUCUGUGAUUCUUCUUGGCCUGUCAUCUAAGUUUCUGCAUUUUGUUUCUGUCUCUCUGGAGGUUGUUUUUUUGUUUCCGUUGUUUCCGUUCUUUCCAUUAUUUCUGUUAUUUCCGUUGUUCUUCUUGGCCUGUCAUCUAAGUUUCUGCAGUCUUUUUCUCCCUCUCUGGAGGUUAUUUCUGUUAUUUCCAUUAUUAUUUCCGUUAUUAUUUCUGUUAUUCUUUCCGUUAUUCUUCUUGGCCUGUCAUCUAAGUUUCCUCAGUAUGUUUCUGUCUCUCUGGAGGUUAUUUCUGUUGUUUCCGUUAUUUCUGUUGUACUUCUUGGCCUGUCAUCUAAGUUUCUGCAGUAUGUUUCUGUCUCUCUGGAGGUUGUUUCCGUUCUUUCCGGUUUUUCCGUUGUUUCCGUUAUUCUUCUUGGCCUGUCAUCUAAGAUUAUACAGUAUUUUUCCGUUAUUUUUCCAUUAUUUUUUCUGUUAUUUCAUUUCUUCUUUUUGGACGAUCAUCUAACUUUCUGCUGUAUGUUUCUGUGUUUCUGGCAGUUGUUUCCGUUGUUUCCAAUGUUUCCAUUAUUUCCAUUGUUUUUGUUAUUCUUCUUGGCCUGUCAUCUAAGUUUCUGCUGUAUGUUUCUGUCUCUCUGCAGGUUAUUUCCGAUUUUUCCGUUAUUUCCGUUAUUUCCGUUGUUCUUCUUGACCUGUCAUCUAAUUUUCUGCAGUAUGUUUCUGUCUCUCUGGAGGUUGUUUCCGUUGUUUCCAUUCUUUCCAUUCUUUCCCUUAUUCUUCUUCACCAGUCAUCUAAGUUUCUGCAGUAUGUUUCUGUCCCUCCUGUAUUUGUUACCGUUUUUUCAGUUAUUUCUGUUAUUAUUUCCGUAAUUAUUUCUGUAAUUUUUUCUGUUAUUUUUACCAUUAUAUUUUUCUGUUAUUAUUUUUAUUAAGAUUUUUUCGUUUUUUUUCUCUUUAUUAUUUCCAUUAUUUCUGUUAUUAUUUUUUUCUUUAUUUACUUUAUGAUUUCCUCUAUUAUUUCCGUUACUAUUUCAGUUAUUUCCGUUAUUCUUCCUGGCUUGUCAUCUAUGUUUCUGCAGUAUGUUCCUCUCUCUCUGGAGGUUAUUUCCG
ensembl:lncRNA